AUUGAACGCUGGCGGAAUGCUUUACACAUGCAAGUCGAACGGCAGCACGGACUUCGGUCUGGUGGCGAGUGGCGAACGGGUGAGUAAUGUAUCGGAACGUGCCCAGUCGUGGGGGAUAACGUAGUGAAAAUUACGCUAAUACCGCAUACGAUCUAUGGAUGAAAGCGGGGGAUCGCAAGACCUCGCGCGAUUGGAGCGGCCGAUAUCAGAUUAGGUAGUUGGUGGGGUAAAGGCCCACCAAGCCAACGAUCUGUAGCUGGUCUGAGAGGACGACCAGCCACACUGGAACUGAGACACGGUCCAGACUCCUACGGGAGGCAGAAGUGGGGAAUUUUGGACAAUGGGCGAAAGCCUGAUCCAGCCAUUCGGCGUGCAGGAUGAAGGCCCUCGGGUUGUAAACUGCUUUUGUACAGAACGAAAAGGUUUCUACUAAUACUAGGAGCUCAUGACGGUACUGUAAGAAUAAGCACCGGCUAACUCUGUGCCAGCCGCCGCAGUAA
rnacentral:rRNA from 1 species